GACGAACGCUGGCGGCGUGCUUAACACAUGCAAGUCGAACGGAAAGGCCCUGCUUUUGUGGGGUGCUCGAGUGGCGAACGGGUGAGUAACACGUGAGUAACCUGCCCUUGACUUUGGGAUAACUUCAGGAAACUGGGGCUAAUACCGGAUAGGAGCUCCUGCUGCUUGGUGGGGGUUGGAAAGUUUCGGCGGUUGGGGAUGGACUCGCGGCUUAUCAGCUUGUUGGUGGGGGAGUGGCUUACAAAGGGUUUGACGAGUAGCUGGCCUGAGUGGGUGACCGGCGACAUUGAGACUGGGAUAAGGCACAGACUGCUGCGCGAGGCAGCAGUGAACAGUAUUUAACAAUGGGUGAAAGCCGGAUGCAGAAAAGCCGCCUGCGGGAUAACGGCGUUCAGGUUGUAAGGCGCUUUCGCCUAUGACGAAACGUGAGUAAAGGUGAUGGGUAGAGAAGCACCCGCUGACUGCGUAC
rnacentral:rRNA from 1 species